rnacentral:rRNA from 1 species
UUUGUCCUACGGGAGGCAGCAGUGGGGGAUAUUGCACAAUGGGGGAAACCCUGAUGCAGCGACGCCGCGUGGGUGAAGAAGCACCUCGGCGCGUAAAGCCCUGUCAGCAGGGAAGAAAAUGACGGUACCUGAAGAAGAAGCCCCGGCUAACUACGUGCCAGCAGCCGCGGUAAUACGUAGGGGGCAAGCGUUAUCCGGAUUUACUGGGUGUAAAAGGGGCGCAGACGGCGAUGCAAGCCAGGAGUGAAAGCCCGGGGCACAACCCCGGGACUGCUCUUGGAACUGCGUGGCUGGAGUGCAGGAGG